GAUUAGCAAUUUUCAAUAAAAUAGUUGGUACUAAAUUAAAAAGAAUGCAAUUUAUAUGGGAAUCAGUACUACUAUAUAACAAAUUUUACCAUAGGCUAUAUUAGUACUAAAAGCUUUAUGGAAUCAUUUCUGUUCAAUAUGUGUCUCUAACCAAUGCAUUUUUUUUUGACAAAGGGCUUCUAACCAAUGCAAUUACGAGGUAAUGGAAGAGAGAUCCAAUAGCUUUCAGUCAAGGUAUGGGGAGAAUCUCAACGCUAAAGUUGAUUGACUGAAAUAUUUAACAAUCAAAAUUUGCAGCUGCAAAGAUAAAGUUAUCUACCCCUUUUUGCCAGCUCAACAAAUUGUUCUUUUAAACGCAAAAUAUUUAACUUAUUUAAACAUUUGAAUAUAAACAAAAAAAAAACAACUUUUUUCUGUUCUUCGCAAUCAAGAGAUGUCCUAGUUUUACUGCUUCCCUUGGAAAAAAAAGAAAAAACAAAUCAUAAAAAGCUGAAAUUUGGGUUAAGAAAGGUAAAGUGCGCAACACUAUAACCUUAACAUUCCCUAUUCAGGAAAUAAAACUAUAAAGAAUAGAAAAUAAACAAGUAUCAAACUACUUCCUUCAUGCCUAGCCACCCACUUUUCCAGUUUCCAACCUUUUCCGUGUUCAUAUUGUAAGUAUCAAACUGAUCUAUAGAAUAUUGAUGGUCCAAAUUUCUUGAGUGUAUUUGUAAAGUGCAUUUUAUUUCUUUUAGUUAAGUUGCAAGUGGGUGCUUUUUUGUUUCUUUGCUUUUUGGUUUACAUAUUUUGCCUCAUAUUUUGAAUUUGAGCCCCCAUCAUGUUGGGGUCUUUUAGCUUCUUCUUAAC
rnacentral:lncRNA from 1 species